rnacentral:misc_RNA from 1 species
UUAACAAAUUUUGCUUUUCGCUCAGACUGCAAACUUCAGACAGCGUUCAAUGGUGUCUUCGGCGGGCGCGGGCCCGGGGGCGGAUGCCCCCCGGCGGCCGUGAGGCGGGCCCGCCGAAGCAACAAGGUACGAUAAACACGGGUGGGAGGUUGGACCCAGAGGGCCCUCACUCGGUAAUGAUCCUUCCGCAGGUUCACCUACGGAAA